GGUUGCGAUCAUACCAGCACUAAUGCACCGGAUCCCAUCAGAACUCCGCAGUUAAGCGUGCAUGGGCGAGAGUAUUACUAGGAUGGGUGACCCCCUGGGAAGUCCUCGUGUUGCAACCCC
rnacentral:rRNA from 1 species